rnacentral:rRNA from 1 species
UAUUGGACAAUGGAUGGAAAAUCUGAUCCAGCCAUGCCGCGUGCAGGAAGACGGCCCUAUGGGUUGUAAACUGCUUUUCUACGGGAGCAAUAAGGUCUACGCGUAGACUGAUGAGAGUACCGUAGGAAUAAGCAUCGGCUAACUCCGUGCCAGCAGCCGCGGUAAUACGGAGGAUGCGAGCGUUAUCCGGAUUUAUUGGGUUUAAAGGGUGCGUAGGCGGCUUUUUAAGUCAGCGGUGAAAUUUUGCAGCUUAACUGUAACAGUGCCGUUGAUACUGGGGAGCUAGGAUUUGGUUGCUGUGGGUGGAAUGUGUGGUGUAGCGGUGAAAUGCUUAGAGAUCACACAGAAUAUCGAUUGCGAAGGCAGCUCACAAAGCCAAGAUUGACGCUGAGGCACGAAAGUGUGGGGAUCAAACAGG